rnacentral:rRNA from 1 species
CUGAUCCCAUGCCGAACUCAGUAGUGAAACGUAAUAGCGCCGAUGGUAGUGUGGGGUCUCCCCAUGUGAGAGUAGGACAUCGCCAGGC